GGGUGAGUAACACGUGAGCAACCUGGCUCUAAGAGGGGGACAACAGUUGGAAACGACUGCUAAUACCGCAUAACGUAUCGGGAUGGCAUCUUCCUGAUACCAAAGAUUUUAUCGCUUAGAGAUGGGCUCGCGUCUGAUUAGAUAGUUGGCGGGGUAACGGCCCACCAAGUCGACGAUCAGUAGCCGGACUGAGAGGUUGAACGGCCACAUUGGGACUGAGACACGGCCCAG
rnacentral:rRNA from 1 species